GCUGAAAGGCGUAGUCCUUUAGGUCUCUUUUAUUUUGAAGAGAACACCAUGAACUGUUGACCAACGAACUAACAUAUGCGGUUGUUACAUCAAUGUAGAUCGUUAUAUCUAAUCUUUUUUAUUGUCCUAUGAGCAAAUAGGUUGUCUUUCUAUAGGCGUUUGAAAUCGGACACCGCUGGCGUUGGGGCCCUCAUUUCAUGCGUAGGGAUACGUUGUUGCUUUUGACAAUGUGGACGGAGGUGGUUAAGAUGUCUACUAGAAGAAUGAAAUCAUCUUAAUUGUAACAACAAAAAGGAAGACGUGAGAUUAAUAACUAGAUAUUGUUUGGAUUCGGACUGGUUACAUUGUACUAAUGAUGUGAGUAGUGUAACAGAGCAAGGUUCAAGAGGAAUAAGGAAGACAUCUACAGCGAUCCAAUGUGUUUCACGCGCUGAGGUUGAAAUUCUCUUGAAGUUUUAUGUUUUUUCCCCCUGCGAUACUCAGCCUUUCUUUUUACUGUUGGAUGCCAGACAUUUGAAGAUUAAAGGGUUGUUAGAGACUGAGGGGCAUGAACGAGCAGCCGCAGCAGAGAAUGGCUGCAGUGGGAACACAAGACAAGGAACUCAACGACCUCCUGGAUUUCAGUGCGAUGUUUGCACCACCUGUGGCUAAUGGGAAGAACAGACCGACGACACUCGCUAGCAGUCAGUUUGGUGGAUCAGCUCUGGAUGAGCGCAGUAGCUCUGGAUCCUGGGGCCCUGGAGAACAGAACAGCCCCUCCUUCAACCAAGGACGGGGCUACGGAGAUGGCUCCCACUACAAUGAGCAUGAGGGCCUGUCAUCUCCCUUCCUCAGUUCAGGAAUCGGAGGUAAAAAUGAGAGGGUACCAUACUCUUCGUUUGGAGGCCAGCCUGGCUUCCUACCCAGUGACAUCGCCAUGCCCAGUCCAGAUUCCAUGUCCCCCUCUGGGCUAAAGUCUGCCUCUCAGUUCUACCCCGGAUCGUACCCCAACAACCCCAGGAGGAGGCCUCCCGAUGGCCAGCUAGACACCCAACCGAAGAAGAUCCGGAAACCCCCUGGCCUGCCUUCCUCGGUGUAUGUCUCUUCCUCCGGGGAUGAGUAUGCCCGUGACAACGGAGGAUAUCCUGGCACCAAACCUGGCUCUGUCUACCCAGGCUCUUUUUACAUGCAAGAGGGACUCCACCCCUCCUCUGACCCUUGGGCCUCCUCAGGACCUUUGGGUCAGUCUGGCUACUCUGCCAUGCUGGGGAACUCUCCCCACAUCGGCCAGCCCGGAUCCUUCUCUGCCAUCAACCCAAACCCACAGGACAGGAUGAAGCGUCAACCCCUGCCUCUGUCCCCACAGAACUACCCUCUCCAUGGCAGUGAGGUGAACGGCAGUCUCGCGCCCGGCUUCCACUCUGGGUCUGGGAGCUACAACCACACAUCCUCCAUCAACGGCGCAGACAGCAUCAUGGCCAAUAGAGGCACCACUGCAGGGAGCUCAGGGGAUGAGAUUGGGAAGGCUCUUGCUUCAAUCUACCCCUCGGACCACAACAGUAACAACUUCUCCUCCACACCCUCCACCCCAGUGGGCUCACCCCAGGGAAUUGCAGGAGCUGCAUCUCAAUGGCCAAGACCUUCAGGGCAGUCUGCCCUGUCACCCAACUAUGAAGGGCAACUGCAUGCUCUGCAGAACAAAAUGGAGGACCGCCUGGAGGAGGCCAUCCACGUGCUGCGUAGCCACGCUGUCCAAGGCCCUCCCGGCCUGGGAGGAGGAGCCCACUCUGACAUGCACAGCCUGCUGAGCGCUGUGUCCUCUGUACACAACGGUGGCCUGGGAGGUCUCUCUCAGGCCUUCUCCAAUGCUGGCCUUGCCCUCAGCAACAGACACCCUACCAUGGGAGGGAACCACCAGGAGGAGCCCACAGGCCUUCCUCCCAGCAGUACCCUGCUGCAUGGUCACCAUGCCUCCGGACCCCCACAGUCCACUGGACAACCAGAGGGCUUCACCAGUCUGCCAGGAAGUGUGGCACGCUCCACACACUCGUCCAGUGGCUCGGACAUCAAGCGGGAGGACAAGGAGGAUGACGAGAACUCCUCCAUCGCUGACAAGUCUGAGGACGAGAAGAAAGAAACCAAACGCAUCAGAGCAAGUCAAGAGGAUGAGGAUGACGAGGACCUUCCUCCUGAGGUAAAGGUAGAGCGUGAGAAAGAGCGGCGAGUGGCCAACAACGCCCGCGAGCGGCUGCGAGUGCGAGACAUCAACGAGGCUUUCAAGGAGCUGGGCCGCAUGUGCCAGCUGCACCUCAGCAACGACAAACCUCAGACCAAACUGCUCAUCCUGCAUCAAGCCGUCAACGUCAUUCUCAACCUGGAGCAGCAAGUCAGAGGUAACGCAGGGCUACUGUGGCCAUAUCUCUUGUAUUGUCACUUUUUACAUGUUGACCUCUGUAUUACUUUGUCCCCUGUGUAUAUUCUUUUCUCAGUGGACCAUCGAGAACCAUCCCGAAUAUUUCAUCCAGCUAUUUUUCACACCAGAACAUUUUUUGUGUCUUUUUAAUAAAGGAUUGAGUUUUUAUAGCACAGUGGAAGGUUGGAUAAAUGACUUUUAUGCAAUGUAAACUCAUAUUCCCUGCUAUCCCCUCUUGUCAGAACGCAACCUGAACCCUAAAGCAGCGUGUCUGAAGCGACGGGAGGAGGAGAAAGUCUCUGGGGUGGUGGGGGAGUCCCCCAUGCAGCUCUCAGGAGGCCACCCCGGCAUGGGGGGAGAUGGCCAUAACCCAGUCAGCCAUAUGUAAUACCAGAUCUGGUGGAAUUCCUUUGGCUCUCGGAAGAUGUGGCCUUGAUCUCUUCUUCCACCCAUUCUUCUCAGUGUGUACAUAUACUGAUGUGUCUGUGUAUUGUCAUAAUUCAGUUUCAAGACACACAUUCACACACCCUUAUCCACACAUGCAUACUGCCAAAACUGACACAGCCAAUUUGCCGCACUCCUGACCAUGACUACCAGCGCAAAUGUGAAGAACCUUGUACUUUCUUUUUUUUUAUAUACAUGUUUUUUUUGCUUCCGUAACAUGAUGGAUCACCGGAGUACUAGUGUCCGGCCACAAAUGGGACUUAAAACACUGCCGAGAGGUGCUCUGUGAAAGACAGAAGCCUAACAAACUACAAAUUUACAAAAGGAUUUGUGCCUAAUUGUUACAUGUUUUAUGAGACAUUUAAGCAAAUGUGUGGAACGUUUUGUUUUGGGGUUGCUUGUAUGUAUGAGCAAGUGUAGAUUUGUCAUUCCCAACUUAAUGGUACAGUCUUACAUAUGUUAUGUAACCAAAUCCAUGUGAUAGAGAGGGCAGUUGACCUGCAUCGUGGGACAGAGUUGCAGUCCCCCCCAGCUCUGUGGGCCCUGGGCCCAACAUGAGAUGAGGCAGAAGGGGGAGGAACCUCACCUGCCUAGUUGUCAUGUUCAGAGUUGUAGAAGGCUUUUUUGUAGAAGACUCCAAGGAUUUUCUUCCCUGCCAUAAACAAAAUAAUAGUAUUGCAGACUCCAGUAUUGUUUCAGCAUCCCCUCGGUGUAGGUUAAUUGGGAGACACCUGGCCAGGGGUAGAAAAGCAGUUUAACAGCACAAAAGAAACAGUAAUUUUUCAUCCUGCGUCUCACCCAUUGGUUACUAUUGAUGCCAUCAGAAACUAGAGAAGCUUUCUGGAAAGCUUGUGGUGUUAACCAGCCACUCUGUUCCGUCUAGUCAUGAGAUUGGAGGCUUGGUCUGGAAUACUCUGAUGGCCAUAUUGUGUAGUGCCACCCUUUGAGUUUCAAAUCAAUUGACCCUGAACUCAUGCCCCAUGCAUUGUCAUUUAAAAAAAACUAACACUAGGCGCCAAUGUGCAUUUGCAGGAUCAACCAUUGAUACGCUUAAUGGAAUGAAAUGUCCUCUUAAUACCAGACAAGCAAUUUAUUAGAAGUUCAGUUGUCUAUUCUUAAAAUUGAAGCUUUGAGCAUUCCCAAUGAACUACACUACAUGGCCAAAAGUGUGUGGAUUCGGUUAUUUCAGCCACACCCGUUACUGACGUAUAUAAAUCGAGCACACCGCCAUGCAAUCUCCAUAGACGAACAUUGGCAGUAGAAUGGCCUUACUGAAAUGCUCAGUGACUCUCAACGUGGCACUGUCAUAGGAUGCCACGUUUCCAACAAGUCAGUUCAUCAAAUUUCUGCCCUGUUAGAACUUCCCCGGUCAACUGUAAGGGCUGUUAUUGUGAAGGGGAAACGUCUAGGAGCAACAACGGCUCAGCUGUGAAGUAGGCCAUAUAUGCUUACAGAACAGGACCAUGUAGUGCAUAAAAAUAAUCUGUCCUCGGUUGUAACACUGACUACCGAGUUCCAAACUCCAGAAGCAACGUCAGCACAGAAACUGUUCAUCGGGAACUUCAUUAAAUAGGUUUCCAUGGCCAAGCAGCCACACACAAGCCUAAGAUCAUGUACAAUGCCAAGCGUCAGCUGGAGUGGUGUAAAGCUCGCCACCAUUGGACUGGAGCAAUGGAAAAGCAUUCUCUGGCGUGAUGAAUCAAGCUUCACCAAUCUGGGUUUGGUGGAUGCCAGGAGAAAGCUACCAGCUUGAAUGCAUAGUGCAUUGGUGGCGGAGGAAUACUGGUCUGGGGGCUGUUUUUCAAGGUUCGGGCUAGGCCCCUUAGUUUCAGUGAAGGGAAAUCUUAAUGCUUCAGCAUUUAUUUUAUUUCACCUUUUUUAUUUAACUAGGCAAGUCAGUUGAGAACAAAUUCUUAUUUACAAUGACGGCUUACCCCGGACGACACUGGGAAAUUGUGUGCAGCCCUAUGGGACUCCCAAUAAUGCUUGGUUGUGAUAAAGCCUGGAAUCAAACCAGAGUCUGUAGUAACUCCUCUAGCAUUGAGAUGCAGUGCCUUAGACCGCUGCACUACUUGGGAGCCCUGGCAUAUAAUGACAUUCUAGACAAUUCCGUGCUUCUAACUUUGUGGCAACAGUAUGGGGAAGGCCCUUUCCUGUUUCAGCAUGACAAUGCCUCCAUGCACAAAGCCAGGUCCAUACAGAAAUUAUUUGUUGAGAUCGAUGUGGAAGAACUUCAUUGGCCUGCACAGAACCCUGACCGCAACCCCAUCGAACACCAGACCUGAUCGCACAACAUCAGUGCCCGACCUCACUAAUGCUCUUCUUGCUGAAUGGAAGCAAGUCCCUGCAGCAAUGUUCCAACAUCUAGUAGAAAGCCUUCCCAGAAGAGUGGAGGCAGUUAUAGUAGCAAAGGGCGGACCAACUCCAUAUUAAUGCCCAUGAUUUUGGAAUUAAAAGUUUGUUGAGCAGGUGUCCACAUACUUUUGGUGAUGUAGUGUAGUAAGAGCUCAUGCUGUGUCUUGACUAUAUUGUUAAAAUGUCUGCAUAAUGAGACAAUCUGAUUUGUAAAUCAACCUCAAGCAUACAUUCAACUAAGGAUAUUGUUUCAAAUGGAGCAAAAUUAAAUGCAUAUAAAUAUAUAUUUGUCUAUACAUUGUAGAUUUUAAAUCCAUGACAAUGUUAGUUUGAAGUUUAGAGUGUAUCGUAGUUGAGCAGAAUGAAGAGCUGAUAUUAAAUCUUAAUGUAUUUUCAAAAUGAACUCAAAUUGGACUGUCAGAUUUGCCAUUAGAGAGGAAAGCUUAACUUAAACAAGAACACAGGCUCAGAAAGAGAAACGAAGACCGAUGGGGUCAGUUGUAGGCUUAAUUAUCAUUACGUAUUUAGUGGACAUUAAGCUGUCAGUCUUUGGUGCAUCCCAUUUUGAUGAGAUUGAAACAUUUGACAAAGGGGUACAGUGGCCUAAAAUAUUGAUAUUGUUCCUGUUUUUAUAUAUAUAUAUAUGAGUAAGGAAGUUUCUUUGUUCAUUACCCAGAUUCAUUAUUUCUUUUCAAAUGGGAACGUGUGGAUGGAAUUUAUGCCACUGACUGUCCUAUUGAAGUGUUCUUACUGAAUGGUCAUGUGGCUUCACAAAGCAAAGUCUAUGAAGACGGGCACUGUCUCGAACAGUAAUUAUGCAACUGGUUUUGAAUGUACCAUUCAAAUGUGGAUUGCCUUCAUUUUCAAGUACAUAUCCAGGUUUUGUCUGUCAGUUCAAUGUUAUUAUUUUCUCUUCAUUUCAAACGUUCCAUUCUAUUCUCUGCAUUCGUCCAUGUGGUCGUCAAUGUGCAGCUACAUUGUCCUGACAUGUUAUUUCGGAGUUUGUGUUUGGAUGGUCUGAAAAAACAAGUGUUAAUUCCUGUUGUAAGUUAAUAUCAUGGCUUCAGACAUGGUAUAGCACUGACCUCUAACCACAGAGGCAGAAAUGUACAUUGUUACUUGUUGGUCAUAGUAUUGAGAAGGAUUUAAGUUUACUUUGUAGAAAGUGAAGAAAAGAAAAGAAAAAGACAGUUUCAAAUCAAUAGUGUGGCCUUUUCAUUCUCAAGACUAAAGAUGUCAUUACUGGAGAGUGAUGCCUUAUCAGUGCCUGAACUUGUAUUUUCAUUAACUAUAAAGACAGUUCUUUUUUUAAACCAUAACAUUUCAUGUAUCGCCAAGAUUAGAGGUACAUCGGAUGAACCACCCCACCCCUCCCUUUUCACUUUUCAGGAAGAAGUUGAACAUUUAAAAAAAUAAAACAUUCUAUGUAUCUAGAUAAAUAAACAUUUUAACUUUAUGUAGAUCUCUUGUUAUUUUAAUUUUUUUAUUCAACUGGAUUUGACCAUACUACUGUUAUGUUGUUGCUGUAGGUUCAAGUCCUGGUUGUGUUUGUCUGUUUGCCCCCCUAUUGAUAAACCACUCAACACUACUGGGUUCUAAGAUAUGAUGGGUUCUGCCCAUGUGAUCUGCUUUUCGAAGCACCUCAAACUGUCUAUAUAUAUGGCUUCAGCUUUGAAGUGGGGGGCUGUGUUAUUUUGAGCCAUGACAACUGGAGCUUUUUGUCACUAGAACUAUCAUUUCUGUGUAAAAGAGUAAGUCUCCUCCAUUUACUUUGAGAUCUUUUUUUUUCUGAUAUCAAUCUCCUUAUUGACUUUGACAGUGACUUAUUGUAAGGGGUAUUGAUGUACCUCUUCAGAGUUGAUUUUGAAUAUUUGUUUCUCUACUAUUACAAGGUGAAAUAUGUGUAGGCCUACUAAAUAUUGCGGAUUUGUUCUGAGAGAGAAAAUUUACUGAUCUGAUGUCAUUACGUAUUCUGUGAAAAUCCCACAAUGACAAAAUGUCCAACCUGUAUUCUGAAGUUGUUGGAUAGGAGGAAAGAUGGAGGGUCUUUUCUGUGUGUCGACCUGAAAAUUGACGCCGGCCCUGUUUGAAUACUUAGAAGUGCGUCCAUCCCGUCUCGCUUAAUGACAUGACUGGAUAGUGUGAGUUGUAUUGUCAACCUGUUUCAAAUCUGACUUGAAUAUAACUUUAUUUGAUUUCAUUUAAUUUCUUAUAUGAAAGAACCUUGCUUUCACCUACCAAAUUAUUUCAGACCAUAGAUCAAUUCAAGCAGGAGGGCACUACUUUUUUAAAAUUCAAGUAUUCAAAUGGGGCCACUCACUCACUGCUACAAAGCCUGGCAUCUUACACUUGCAGCGAGGACACAAUCAAGACUGAGCAGUGUUUUCAGAGUGCCUCCAGUCCCGGUCUUUAUUAUCAUUUUUUUAUAUAUAUAAAGUAGUUAUUGAGAACUGUCCUGUAUAUAACAGUAAUGUAGCAAUAAAUGUGCCAUUUUUAAUAACAGAAUUAUACCUUUUUCAAUGUCUGGCUUUUGAAUCUUGUAAACAUGAAAGGAAAUAAAGGAAAACAUUGUAAUAAAGGGU